GAUGAACGCUGGCGGCGUGCCUAAUACAUGCAAGUCGAGCGAACUGAUUAGAAGCUUGCUUCUAUGACGUUAGCGGCGGACGGGUGAGUAACACGUGGGUAACCUGCCUGUAAGACUGGGAUAACUUCGGGAAACCGAAGCUAAUACCGGAUAGGAUCUUCUCCUUCAUGGGAGAUGAUUGAAAGAUGGUUUCGGCUAUCACUUACAGAUGGGCCCGCGGUGCAUUAGCUAGUUGGUGAGGUAACGGCUCACCAAGGCAACGAUGCAUAGCCGACCUGGAGGGGUGAUCGGCCACACAGGGACUGAGACACGGCCCAGACUCCUACGGGAGGCAGCAGUAGGGAAUCUUCCGCAAUGGACGAAAGUCUGACGGAGCAACGCCGCGUGAGUGAUGAAGGCUUUCGGGUCGUAAAACUCUGUUGUUAGGGAAGAACAAGUACAAGAGUAACUGCUUGUACCUUGACGGUACCUAACCAGAAAGCCACGGCUAACUACGUGCCAGCAGCCGCAGUAACAC
rnacentral:rRNA from 1 species